rnacentral:misc_RNA from 1 species
GAUGAAGAACGUAGCGAAAUGCGAUAAGUAGUGUGAAUUGCAGAAUUCAGUGAAUCAUCGAAUCUUUGAACGCACAUUGCGCCUCCUGGUAUUCCGGGAGGCAUGCCUGUUCGAGCGUCAUUAAAAUCACUCAAGCUUAGGUUUACCUAUUGCUUGGUCUUGGAGAUGGAAGCCAAUUUAUUGGAAUCCUCUUCGAAAUUCAAUGGCGAAGACCCUUGCUCUCCCAAGUGUAGUAAUAACUUAUGUCACUGAAGGAAGCGAGAAAUCUUCUGCCGUAACCCCCAUAUUUUCUAUGAUUGACCUCGGAUCAGGUAGGGAUACCCGCUGAACUUAAGCAUAUCAAUAAGCGGGA